rnacentral:pre_miRNA from 1 species
GAAAAGGCAAACCCUGGGUUUCUAUGUCCAACUUUAACUAUCCGUCUUAUAUGAAAUUUUUUUAUAAUUCGUAUUUUUAUUGUUGUUAGAUGAUAAAACAUGAUUAAUAUUUUAUGUGUGACUUGUCUUUUUAAUUAUUUUUCAUAUUUUUUUCAAAUAAGACGGACGAUCAAACGUUGGACAUGGAAAAC